CGGACAACGGCAAACAAGCGUUUAAAAAGCAUUGAGGCCGAAGCAGAGGAAGAAGGCUAAUCAUUAGGUAUCUAACAUCUAAUAUCUAGCGUCUAAUAUCUAGUUUAGUGGCGGACGGGUGAGUAACGCGUGAGCAACCUGCCUAACAGAGGGGGAUAACGUAUGGAAACGUACGCUAAUACCGCAUAACAUAUGUUUGUCGCAUGGCAGACAUAUCAAAGGAGCAAUCCGCUGAUAGAUGGGCUCGCGUCCGAUUAGAUAGUUGGUGGGGUAAAGGCCUACCAAGUCAGCGAUCGGUAGCCGGACUGAGAGGUUGAACGGCCACAUUGGGACUGAGACACGGCCCAGACUCCUACGGGAGGCAGCAGUGGGGGAUAUUGCACAAUGGGCGAAAGCCUGAUGCAGCAACGCCGCGUGAGGGAAGACGGUUUUCGGAUUGUAAACCUCUGUCUUUGGUGAAGAAAGAAAUGACGGUAGCCGAGGAGGAAGCCACGGCUAACUACGUG
rnacentral:rRNA from 1 species